CUUGUUUGUUUCUUUGGGUUAAUUGGAACCAUGCCAUUACAACUUCAGCUAUUUGGAAAUAUGCCAUUACAAUUAGCAAAACCGGCUGGGUGCCAUCGCAAUUUCUUCCAAAUUGGAACCAUGCCAUUAUAUACGUCUGAAUUGCCAUCCAUGCCAUUUGUCCUCGCACGUAUUUCCGUAUGGACGCUUGUGCCCCUGGCUGAGACGAUACAAGCCAACCAUCCCGGUCCGGCUCAACCAUCUCUGUUCCCCAUUCCCUAUUCCCCAUUGUCUGCAAACCCUAGCUCGCCGACGGCGAUCUCGACGGCGAUCGGUGCAGCGCCGGCGACGACGACGGGGGCUAGGGAUACGGCGCCGGCGACGACGACGGGGGCUAGGGAUACGGCGGCGGCUUUACCGAUAGCUUCUCCCGGCGUAGACGGAUCAACGCGGCAACGAGUUUGGAGGCGAGCUAUACCAGUGGCAGUGGUCGCUCUGCAAUUUCGAGAAGGUGCAGAGUCCCAUCGGUGGCUCCUUCAAUCCCAGAGCUGAAAUGUGCUUGUGGGCAUGCCGCUGCGGUGCAGACAUCGAACACACCAAGGAAUCCAAGGCGGCGGUGGCUGCAGUGUCCUGGGGAGAAUUGUAGAUGUGCCUUGUGGAUUUGGGAAGAUCUCAACGAAUACGUUGAGGAGAUGGUCGCUUACUGUCAUGCUGACGAGUACGACUAUCUUAGAGAGACAUGCGACAGUUUGCGCCAGUUUAUAGCAGAUCAAAGACAUGCAUAUCUCUCAGUUGUCAGCCUAGGCUGAGGCAAAAGAGUUGCAGUUGCAAGCCAAUUACGAAGCUUUGAAUCAGUCCAAGUUGGGGUGUGCAGACUUAAAGAAGAAAUUGGAGUGCGAGAAGGCUUGGACUCGCACAAUUGUGUCCAUGAUGAUCUUGUUCUAUGUGUUGUUAGUUGCUGUAAUGAUAAGGCAGGUUUAGGAGAUGUUCUGUGUGAUGUCUGGUGUGUGAAAUAUUGUGAUGUACCUUAGGUGUGUGAAAUCUGGUGUGUGUAUUUAUGUUUGUGCAAGUUGGGGAAUGCAAUGCAAGGGCUAUAUUUUGGAAUC